CAGCCGCCGCGGUAAUACGUAGGUGGCAAGCGUUGUCCGGAAUUAUUGGGCGUAAAGGGCUCGCAGGCGGUUCCUUAAGUCUGAUGUGAAAGCCCCCGGCUCAACCGGGGAGGGUCAUUGGAAACUGGGAAACUUGAGUGCAGAAGAGGAGAGUGGAAUUCCACGUGUAGCGGUGAAAUGCGUAGAGAUGUGGAGGAACACCAGUGGCGAAGGCGACUCUCUGGUCUGUAACUGACGCUGAGGAGCGAAAGCGUGGGGAGCGAACAGGAUUAGAUACCCCAGUAGUCCCUGUCUCUUAUAC
rnacentral:rRNA from 1 species